rnacentral:misc_RNA from 1 species
CUAAAACAUCAAACUAUUUAUGCAUCAGAAGGGGAAAUAGCUGGCCGUCUCAAAACUGCAUAUUAAUUUCUCUAUUGCAAAACAAAUGCCUUUUUUCUAAGGGCGCAUACUUUUCUCUACCUAUUACAAACAACAAAACAGUUGAAAUGGGCUCUACUUAUCAGCUCAGUUCAUCUCUCCAUGCAGUUCCUGGCUUACAAGCAGCAAGAGUGCCAGAUAGUGGAAGGACACAUUUUAUUUCUUAUGUUUUUACUAUCCUAAAUCCCAAGGGGUUUCAAGAAAGUUGCUUUGCAUUCUGAUAGAAAGCAGCAGAGCAUAAAAUUGAAGCAAUCAAAGCGAAAAUCCCCAACCCAAUCAUUAGGGAAAAUCCAGCUACCACCAAGUCCAUCAAACAUUGCAAGCUUAUUCCCAUCACCAACAUCUUCUUUUUUUCUCUCAAAAUAUCCUCAGCAAAACAAUGGGAAAUUCCUUUUGCUAUUUAUAGAUGGAUAAGAAUGGGUCUUUUGGCAUCCCGAGGCAGACCGCUUCUAGCUCAAACAAAGCAUGUGACGCAUAAUUGCAGAAAACGCAUCGGAAAGGUUGACAAAG